UAAAGUGCGAUAUGUAGUGCGAUUUGCAUGAAUCUGUGAGUCAUCUAAUCUUUGAACGCAACUUGCGCCUCUUUUAGAGGCAUGUCUGUUUGAGUGCCAUAAAACAUGUGUAUUAAUAUAAGGUGUGUGAAUGCCAAAUAUGAAUACGAAUUUGAUCAUGUCUCUGGACUUGAUUUAAAUAAAUUCAGUCAAUGUCAUGCAUAAUUUUAGCACGAGUGCUAAGCAUUCUUGGGUUAAUAAUAAUGUAUGGCACUGGAGGUGGUGGCGUAUGAGGUGCGUGUAUAGGGUGUGUGUGUGUGGGAAUUUCCUUUACAAAUCAUACCUUUACCUCACCUCCCCCCCAUCACCCCAAUAUUAUCAAAGGCCUCAAAUCAGUCAAGAUUACCCGCUGAACUUAA
rnacentral:misc_RNA from 1 species